GGGCCGGGCCGUGGGCGGGGAGGGGGGCGCGCUGCGGGGCCGCAGCCCCCUGGGCGCGUUCUGUGUUGCAGGUGCCGGCGGGACCCGAGGCGCUCAGGGAUGGAGGGGCCGGAGGGUGCGGACCGGGCGGCGGCGGGCAGCGGGCCCGGCGUGUGGCGGCGGGGCCGGGCCCAGGGCCCCGGGGACGUCUCGCGGCGAGCGGCCGGGGCCGGGGCGCCCAGUCAUGCAUCUGGUAACAAAAGACAGUCCAGGUCUUUGAUUGACCUCACCUCGGACAGUAACUGGGAUCAGCAAAAACCUCACUUGUUUCCUAAAUCCUGCCUGAGGCCAAAAAGUGCUUCAUCUCCCUGGAUUCCCUCCAUCACCAUCCCUCAGCCCUUCAAAAUGACACUGCGGGAAGCUCGCAAAAAGUCCCAGCUGAUGAAGUCAUACCUGUUUCUUGAACUAGACAAACCGAGAGACAAAAGGCAAAGCCAGGAUGAAGCGGAAUGUCAGAAGCAAUUCCGGGCACAGCCUGUACCUGCCCAUGUGUUUCUGCCCCUUUAUCACGAAAUAAUGGAACAGAAUGAGAUUCGCAGGCAAAUAGCAACACAGAAAAGAAAGGAGCUGCUGCUUUCCACUCAGCGGCCCUUCAGUUUCCUGGAGAAGGAGGAGAAAAAGAAAGAAGCUAUCAGACAAAAGUUCCUGGCAGCAGCAACCCCAAGUGAGAGCUCCAAACCGAAGCAAGCCAGUCGAAAAGUUCCUAAAUCCACUUAUGGUCCACUUCUUGGAGAUAAACUCAAAGAAGCUGAACUCUACAGAGAAAUCCGCAUUCAGAUGAGAGCCAAGGAUUUGCUUGAGAGCUCUGUAGCUCCUAUAGAUACCAGCAACUGUCGGAGGAAGCCUCAGUCCCGAACUGCCACUAAAACUAGGCAGGAAAAACUUGGCUUCUUGCAGGACAAAAGCUUCAGUUUCACACCAAGGAUUAAUCCAACAAUACCAGAUUUUGAAGAACUUUAUUGGGCAUUUCAGAGGGAAGCAAUAAGAAGACAAGAAGUCAAAGAGGCAACUCGUAAUAAACCGUUCAAGCUACGAACCUCCAAUCUCCGUAGCAGGCAGAGGCAGGCUAAUGAAAGGAUAAAGGAUUCUCAUCAACUUUCCAAAGUUUCGGUGCAAAAAAGUCAUUCUCUGACUGCACUUUCCUCUCUCUCUUCCAACACCCUUCCAGUGCAUAUUACAGAUGCAACAAGAAAAAGGGAAUCUGCUAUUAGAUGCUCCCAAGAAAGCAAAAAGGAAGGAGACAAAGAAGGAAUUUAUUGGCUGGAAGAACAGAAAAAGAAAUGUCAAGCUAUCUGUAAGUCAGUGAACAGCCGAGCAAAAGCCCUGGAUCCGCAUAAAAGUCUGGAUGAAACACUCAAGGAGAAGUUGAAACAGAACUGGCAAAAUAUGAGAGAGAGAACAAAGGAAUACAGAAAGGAGCUGGAAGAAAUGCAGCUGCGAGUCAAGAACAGACCAUACCUCUUUGAACAGGUCACCAAGCAUGAUGCCCGUCAAGGAGCAGAGCGUCGCUACAGACACACCCUCCAGCACGUUGGGCUAAGUGAAGAAUUUGUAAGGAAAAAAGGAGAAGAUGCUACUGACUUGCUGGAAGAAGAAUCUGACAUUCACAGAGUGCCCCAGCCUCAGAGUGAAAAGAACGACUGCACUGUACAGGAAGGAGAACCUGACAAACAACAGAGAGGAGAGGAAAAGGCAACGUAAGAUCUAACAGAAGAAUCCAUGGAUCAUCUCUUGAUUCUUUGAAUUCAAGAUUCUCCAGGUUAAUCCUCAGGAACUUUCUGGUUUCGGCUGACAAUAAUUGCUUUGGGUUGAGCUUUCUAUGCAACACAUCUGCGGAGUGCUGUAUCCCAGAUUCAAAUACUGUCCUUCACUAGAGAAAUUACCAAGUGUUUGAGAGCCAAUUCCUUUCCUGUGGAGGCUUAACAACCUGGGAAGGUUCAAGGAAGGAUGUUACCAGUUUCUAUAUAGGUUUAGUUGUGUAGGGCACACAAAGGCUGUUCUUUCCCCUGUAUCCCAUGAAAAAGCGCAGAGAUGUAAUCAUAUUGUCACCGUGCCCUGUCAAGUUGAAAGAAGAAAGAAGGAAAGAUUUCUGCCAUGCUACAAGUCUCUGGUCUACAGUCCACUUGGGUUUGCGUGAAAAAAUGUGGAGCAGUGGGAGGAAAUUAACAUACAUUUUGAUCUGUGUUUACUAGUACCUGCAUCACAGGAAAGUACUAAUUCAGGAAAAAAACAAUUUUAGUACUAAAAAAUCCCAGAAGGAAGACUAAAUUGUACUUGGUUGAGUAGUAAUUAGUAUCUUCCAAGUGCUGGAGUUUAGGAAACACCAGCCUCCCACCACCAGAAACCUUCUAAUGACAAACCUAGGAAGCCUCAUGUCCUGUUUUCACACCUCCUGAAUUUAGCUUCCUGGUGAUUGAAACAUGGUCAUAUUCUGCACUUUUUUAGACCAUUUUGACACUACAGUUGAAUUUAAGUCCAGGACAACAUGAAAAGUAAUAGGCCUGCUCAGAAUGUGCUUUGUGUUCAAGACUCGCAUGUCCUUCCAGAGGUCUUGCACACAGUAUUGUUUUUUUUUUUUUUAACUUUAUGACUUCCAUAUUCAGUUACUGUAUCACUGUUGUUUUCUUCCUUUUGAAACCACAAAGUCAACACAUCCAAGUGAUGCUUAACACUAUACAUAAAGAUUAUCCUAUCCUCUGUAUCCUGCAUGAGUAUGUACAGUUUUCAUCACCAGCAACUGACUUGCUAACCUGCUUUAUCAAACUUAUUCCAAUAAGUCUACAGUUAAAGCAUGUUGUACAAGCUCAUAACUACUUUAAUUAUAAACAGCUCAGCAAGCAGUUUCUGGAGUGCUCAUCUUUCUGAUGAAAUCUACUUAGAAACUAGUGCCAACCUUAGCGCCAACCAAAUCCACACCUAUAAACUGUGAGGUCUUGGCUAAAACUGGUUGCUAGUUUCCAUAAUAAUACUUGAUGCUGGAAAAAUAGAUUUCCGAGCAUGUGAGGUGUAAAGGAAAACAUUAAGGAAGGUUACAAAGGUUUGAAUUCAGUUAAUGUAUGAUAUUAUGCUAUGUGCCUUUAACAAAUACUAAGGUGUCAUACAUGAAUACAGUAACAGAUAAGCCCAAGUCUUUGUUAUUGGUCCUUAGCAUUGGUAUCGGUCCCUAAACUGAAAAUGCUGAAAUGCUGAUGAAAGUAAAAGCAUCAAACCAAGUAACUGAAACUCGCUAGGCACCUUUCUUGGUAAACAAACUGUUCUGAAAGUAGGAUUAUUACAUCUCUGAUUGUUAAUCUCUUAAUACACCUCAAAAAUGGUAUGGGAAUAAAGAAUUCCCACUUUUGUUCUGGAAUUUUGCAUCAUAUGAAAAUGUUAUUUUUAGUUAAAAGAAUUACAGGCUGUUCAACUGGGCAACUGAAAGAAGACAUUUCACUAGAGCAUCUCCCUGUUAAGGUGAUGAUGAACUAAUAAAAUGGUAUCCAAACUACAUCAGAUCCUGAUUCACGGACACGCGGUUCUUCUUCUGCAAGAACCUCCAAAUUACAAUACCUUUACCAACAGCAGCACUACCUUUACAUUCAGGUGGGGAGCAAUAUAAACUCAAAGCAUUACCUUCACACAGGAGCCAUAACAGGUGCAUAGUAUCUUAGCAAAUUCCUGCAUUCUUUGUAGUGCUAACUCUGAAGAAAGUCUGAAGUUAAUGAAAAGUCAAAACAUCUACAUGGUAGAUUCAUUUAUAGCGCUUCAUAUUUUCAAAUUUUCAAGGAAAAAGCAACUGGAAAAGAACACAGCAAAUGUAAUUAAAUGAUAUCAAGUAGUACAUUUAUUUCAGAUAUUAAGUCAGCUUCUGACAGUGAGAUGUAUUAGAAUAUAGUCUCUGAAGGUAAAGGAUGGAAGGCCUGUUCCUCAAGAUACUGGGUGUUUGCACAGUGCCUAGCACAAUGAGGUCCCGGUCCUUAACUGGGCUUCUACCUGCUCCAGCAAAACAAACGCUUUAGGCUUUAGGAGAAUGGACUGCAUAAGCAGUUUUGAAAUGGCGUUCCACAACAUGGGCUAAAUGACAUCUAAGCAGCAGACUUCACCUUUUAAGCUCUGCAAGAGAGAAACUUGGUCCAGCAGGUCUUCUCCAACUCCAGUUUUAGGAUUCAUUCUCCACCUACCCACCUGCUCCGUGCACACUUAAAGCAAUG